rnacentral:RNase_P_RNA from 1 species
AGUUCAGGCUGGGCAGUUGCUCCGAUUAUAUCGGGGAGGAAAGUCCGAACUUCGCAGAACAGGGCGCCGGGUAACACCCGGGAUGCCGGUUUAUCUUUGAAUAGGUAAACGAGCAUACGGAAAGUGCCACAGAAAAUAUACCGUCCUGAUUUUUUCAGGAUAAGGGUGAAAUGGCAGGGUAAGAGCCUACCGCGGAAAUGGUAACAUUUCCGGUCCCUAUGGGAUUCUGGUUAAUGUAACUUUUGGUUACUUAACCGGAACAAGGAAAACCACACCCGAAGCAAGGUCAAGUAUGGGAAUCUUCCCGGUUUACCGGGACAAAGUUGUUCGCUUUGAUUAACUGCUUUUUGCAGAAUGGAUUUCCGGGUGGACCGCUAAAGCCCGGCAGUAAUGCCGGGACGAGACAAAUAACUGCCGUCCUGAUUUAUAUCGGGAUUACAAAAUUCGGCUUAUAAGCCUAAACUAUUU